rnacentral:rRNA from 1 species
GUGUCAGCAGCCGCGGUAAGACGUAGGGGGCAAGCGUUGCUCGGAAUCACUGGGCUUAAAGGGCGCGUAGGCGGUUGUGUAAGUCCAGGGUUGAAGGCCCCGGCUCAACCGGGGAAAGGCCUUGGAGACUGCAUGACUUGAGUGAGCGAGGGGAGGGCGGAAUUCCUGGUGUAGCGGUGAAAUGCGUAGAUAUCAGGAGGAAGGCCUGUGGCGAAGGCGGCCCUCUGGCGCUCAACUGACGCUGAGGCGCGAAAGCGUGGGUAGCAAACAGGAUUAGAUACCCUGGUAGUCCACGCCCUAAACGGUGGGCACUAGGUGUGGGGCUCGAGAGGGUUCCGUGCCGAAGGGAAACCAAUAAGUGCCCCGCCUGGGGAGUACGGCCGCAAGGUUGAAACUUAAAUGAAUUGACGGGG